GGGCUCGUAGCUCAGUUGGCAGAGCACCAGACUGUUUAUCUGGCUGUCGCGGGUUCGAAUCCCGUCGAGCCCA
rnacentral:tRNA from 1 species